rnacentral:lncRNA from 1 species
UCAGGGAUGGGAAGACUUCAAUGUAGGGACACCAAUGUCAAGAAAAAUAUGAUUCUUUGGUAAUUUAGCCUUUCAAGAAUCUCAUAAGCUAUUUUAGCUUCUGUGUUGCUUCAAAAUAGAUUUCAUGUUUUUUGUAUUCUUCAUGCUUGUGUUCCAAUCAUUUCUAAGCAAUUGAUACUCAUAAACCAUUUGUUCCUUUUACUUUUCUCUUUGCCUUUCAUAGAAU